ACAUGCAGUCGACGCUUUUUCUUUCACCGGAGCUUGCUCCACCGAAAGAAAAAGAGUGGCGAACGGGUGAGUAACACGUGGGUAACCUGCCCAUCAGAAGGGGAUAACACUUGGAAACAGGUGCUAAUACCGUAUAACACUAUUUUCCGCAUGGAAGAAAGUUGAAAGGCGCUUUUGCGUCACUGAUGGAUGGACCCGCGGUGCAUUAGCUAGUUGGUGAGGUAACGGCUCACCAAGGCAACGAUGCAUAGCCGACCUGAGAGGGUGAUCGGCCACACUGGGACUGAGACACGGCCCAGACUCCUACGGGAGGCAGCAGUAGGGAAUCUUCGGCAAUGGACGAAAGUCUGACCGAGCAACGCCGCGUGAGUGAAGAAGG
rnacentral:rRNA from 1 species